GAAAUGCCUGGGACAUCAUCGUUAAGUGGCAUCUGAUGCAUAAGCAGUGCCCUAGGAAUGGGGUUGCCUGCCUUGGUCUCUAAAGGAUGGGUUCAAAAGGCAAGAGCAGCACACAAGAAGAUAGCUUCAAGCAGGAGAUAAAGCUUGGCCCAGGGCCCAAAGGGGAUACGACCCUUCAGGUUGGCCCUGACCUCUGGGUUGGAUUACCAGUGACACAAUGAACAUUUCAUUAUGAGGCCAUCCCUUGAGCAAACUGACAUGCUGAAAGCUGCCCUAUGGAGAGGCUCAUGUGGCAAGGAACAGAGGGUGGCUUCUGGCCAACACCCAGUGAGGAACUCAGGCCCUCAGUCAAACAGCCUGCAAGGAACUGAACCCUGCCAAUAACCAGGCAGUGUCAGCCCCCGGCCAAUGACCACCAUGGACCUCCCUGUAGUUGAACAAAGUUGGGUUUGCUGACUGGUGGCAGUGAGGGAGAAUGCACACCACAGGGAGCUGUGCAGUGUCUCAGUAAGAAGCCAGGAGCCAUCCCGUGAGGCCGUUACUGCAAACAAGCUGAAAAUCCUGCUUUGUUUCUUUUGGACACAACAUGCUUUCCUUCAGCUUCAGUAGACGAUGAGGCCAGCACCACAUGGGCUAGAUGUACAUGAGAUGUGAGCAACCACACUUCCCCUCUGACGGGGACAGACAGCAUCACAGGACAUGAAGUUCUAAGAGGUUCAGUGACUUGUCUAAGAUUAAACAGCUAUGAAUGGAGAACUGGAGGCAAAUGCCUCAUCAUCUCUCACCUGGGCAACUGCAACAAUGAGCAGUUUGUGUCUGUGCCUGCAUCCAUCCUUCCAUCCUGUACUCCAGCAGCAGCCAGGGUGGUCUUUCAAAAAUGCAAAGCUGAUAAUGUUACUCCCCUGCUGUAAACCUUCCAGCGGUUUCCUAUUGCCUUCAGAAUAAAAUACGAAUCAUCUGGCCUCC
rnacentral:lncRNA from 1 species